rnacentral:rRNA from 1 species
UGGGGAAUUUUGGACAAUGGGGGCAACCCUGAUCCAGCAAUGCCGCGUGAGUGAAGAAGGCCUUCGGGUUGUAAAGCUCUUUUGUCAGGGAAGAAACGGUAGUAGCGAAUAACUAUUACUAAUGACGGUACCUGAAGAAUGAGCACCGGCUAACUACGUGCCAGCAGCCGCGGUAAUACGUAGGGUGCAAGCGUUAAUCGGAAUUACUGGGCGUAAAGCGUGCGCAGGCGGUUGUGUAAGUCAGAUGUGAAAUCCCCGGGCUCAACCUGGGAAUUGCAUUUGAGACUGCACGGCUAGAGUGUGUCAGAGGGGGGUAGAAUUCCACGUGUAGCAGUGAAAUGCGUAGAUAUGUGGAGGAAUACCGAUGGCGAAGGCAGCCCCCUGGGAUAACACUGACGCUCAUGCACGAAAGCGUGGGGAGCAAACAGGAUUAGAUACCCAAGUAGUCCCUGAGCGGGCUGGCAAGGCGCAU